rnacentral:rRNA from 1 species
UAAGGCCCCUAAGUGUGCGCUUAGUGGGAAAGGAUGUGGGAUCGCCGAGACAACCAGGAGGUUGGCUUAGAAGCAGCCAUCCUUGAAAGAGUGCGUAAUAGCUCACUGGUCAAGUGGUCCUGCGCCGACAAUGUAGCGGGGCUGAAGCGCACCGCCGAAGCCAUGCCAUACGUGUUGUAAGACACGGAUGGGUAGGGGAGCGUCCUGCAUGCGGUGAAGCGCCGGAGUGAUCCUGGUGUGGAGUGUGUGGGAGUGAGAAUGCAGGCAUGAGUAGCGAGUGCAGAGUGAGAAUCUCUGCCGCCGGAUGACCAAGGGUUCCUGGGGAAGGUUCGUCCGCCCAGGGUGAGUCGGGGCCUAAGGCGAGGCCGACAGGCGUAGUCGAUGGAUAACGGGUUGAUAUUCCCGUACCCGUGUUGAUGCGUCCAUAGCGAAACCUUUGAUACUAACCAUCCUGGUGUGUGUUGAUCCUUCGGGUGAGAUGCGUGCUGGCAUGGGACCUGAUGGGGCGGUAGUUAAGUGAUGGGGUGACGCAGGAGGGUAGCUCUGCCAGUGAGUGGUAGUACUGGUGUAAGCCUGUAGCCCGGUGUGUAGGUAAAUCCGCAUGCCAUAUGGGUGAGGGGUGAUGCGUAGCCGUUGUGGCGAUGUGAGUGAUCCCAUGCUGUCGAGAAAAGCCUCUAGCGAGUGUCUUCACGGCCCGUACCCGAAACCGACACAGGUGGUCAGGUAGAGAAUACCGAGGCGGUCGGGUGAACUGUGGUUAAGGAACUCGGCAAAUUGCCCCCGUAACUUUGGGAGAAGGGGGGCCACUGCUGGUGAACAUCCUUGCGGUGGGAGCUGGUGGUGGUCGCAGAGGCCAGGGAGAAGCGACUGUUUACUAAAAACACAGGUCCAUGCGAAGCCGUAAGGCGAUGUAUAUGGACUGACGCCUGCCCGGUGCUGGAACGUUAAGAGGACCCGUGAACCCGUAAGGGUGUAGCGGAGAAUUUAAGCGCCAGUAAACGGCGGUGGUAACUAUAACCAUCCUAAGGUAGCGAAAUUCCUUGUCGGGUAAGUUCCGACCUGCACGAAUGGCGUAACGACUUCUCCGCUGUCUCGACCACAGGCCCGGUGAAAUUGCAGUACGAGUAAAGAUGCUCGUUUCGCGCGGCAGGACGGAAAGACCCCGGGACCUUUACUAUAGCUUGGUAUUGGUGUUUGGUUCGGCUUGUGUAGGAUAGGUGGGAGACUGUGAAGCAUUCACGCUAGUGGGUGUGGAGUCGUUGGUGAAAUACCACUCUGGUCGUUCCGGGCAUCUAACUCGGGUCCGUGAUCCGGAUCGGGGACAGUGCCUGGUGGGUAGUUUAACUGGGGCGGUUGCCUCCUAAAGAGUAACGGAGGCGCCCAAAGGUUCCCUCAGCCUGGUUGGCAAUCAGGUGUUGAGUGUAAGUGUAUAAGGGAGCUUGACUGUGAGACUGACGGGUCGAGCAGGUGCGAAAGCAGGGACUAGUGAUCCGGCACUGGCUGGUGGAAGCGGUGUCGCUCAACGGAUAAAAGGUACCCCGGGGAUAACAGGCUGAUCUUGCCCAAGAGUCCAUAUCGACGGCAUGGUUUGGCACCUCGAUGUCGGCUCGUCGCAUCCUGGGGCUGGAGUUGGUCCCAAGGGUUGGGCUGUUCGCCCAUUAAAGCGGCACGCGAGCUGGGUUUAGAACGUCGUGAGACAGUUCGGUCCCUAUCCGCCGCGCGCGUAGGAGACUUGCGGAAGGCUGUCCCUAGUACGAGAGGACCGGGACGGACGAACCUCUGGUGUGCCAGUCGUUCUGCCAAGAGCGUGGCUGGUUGGCUAUGUUCGGGAGGGAUAACCGCUGAAAGCAUCUAAGCGGGAAGCCUGUUCCUAGAUGAGGUCUCCCACCCGUUUGUGGGUUAAGGCCCCCAAGAGAUGAUUGGGUUGACAGGCCAGAUAUGGAAGCACGGUAACGUGUGGAGUUGACUGGUGCUGAUAGGCCGAGGACUUGCUCAC